GGCACGGUACGCUAACUGGCAUCGCGGCCAGAAUGAGAUUCUGGUGCUUGUGGGUUCGACUCCCUCCCGUGCUA
rnacentral:tRNA from 1 species